ACAAAAAAUGAAAGAAUGAAAAUGUUUAUUCGAUGUUUAUUUUUUGCUCAACCUGGUAACCGGUAACCGAUGGCUGGCACAUGUACAGCACAUACAGGGAGGCAGAGCAGCAGCACAGGUGUGCAAAAUGAUUGUAAAUCAAUAAAGCAGCCAAAGGGAAGUGCAAAAUUGCAAAAUAAAUGAAGACAAAUUGAAUGAAAUUUUUGUACGAGAACUUUGUUGCAGAAUAAUUUUGCUGGGAACGUGGAAAGGUGUGCAUCAAUCAAUCAAUGGCCGAGAAUUUCGAAUGUUUUUGUUACAUAUACUAUGUACUUUGAGCACACUCUCGUUCCCCCGUUAUGAUUUUGAUAGACAGACGGAUUUAAUUUACAGAUUAUACACACAGUUGACUCUGUCUGCUCCUCUGAAAUGUUGAUUUUGCAAUUGCUUGUGGCAAAAAUAAAUGAUUUAAUUGCUUAAUAUAUGUAAAUUGCCCAUUUAUUAGAAAUGCUUCAUUUGACUUCCAUUUGAUUUGCGAAAACAAUUUACUCAUUAAAUGACUAAACACUCGCGGCCCAUCAAAUUAUCAACGGUCUCAAAACAUAUUGAGAUAUUCGCAAAGCUCAUAAAAUCAGAUAGAAGUGAUUCAUUGUUUCAAUUUGUUCGGCAGUCAGUCGGCUUUUAGCUUCAGAAAGCGCUCAAAUAGAGAGAUAAUAUUCAAAUUGAGUUGCCGGUUUGGUAUUUCCGCUAAACGCUACAAAACCGACACACAAACCAGUAAAAAAAAUCAAGAAAAAUAAACACCCAGAGUAACAGCUUCCCCAUUCGUGAGUCAUUGCCGGCAGUGCAAUUACACUGCCGUCUAAAAGUUAAGGCACGCUAAAAACCACAAACAUCUCUAUAUGCUAGCAAUUAGCCAAGUUGAUCUAAUAACCACACAGAGGAGGACAUACUACUUGUACUCAAAUGUUGUUGCCAAUGCAAACAUUUUCCACUUGGCCAAAUCGCGGCCAAGCAAGCAGCAAGCCACAAAACUAGUUUAUGCAACAAAAUACUUAUACUCGUACUAGAAAAAAAAAA